rnacentral:rRNA from 1 species
AUGCUCACACGCACGCUAACUAUCCAUAGUGUAGCUAGAAUGGAACAGCUGACGAGUGACGACUGUCAGCAGGAGGACGAGCUCAAUCUUGGGCUCACCCUCCUCACCACGGCCGCGACGGAGCCCGGCGUCGGCUUCUUCCUCUGCGUGUACUGCGACCGUAAGUUCCGCAGCUCGCAGGCGCUCGGCGGCCACCAGAACGCGCAUAAGCACGAACGUAGCGUCGCCAAGCGCCGGCAGCUGAUCGCUGCCGCGACGCGCGUGGGUGCGCGUGCUGCGGCGCAGGACGAGAGGCAGCCCGGGUACCACCCCGGGGGCGGUGGCGAUUUCAUGUCUGCGGCUGGGAAGGCGAGGAAGACUGCUGCUGGAAAGGCGCACAAGCACGACAGGAGCUCGCCGGAGUACGACGAUGGCGCCGACAAUGUGGAUUUGUCUAUGGCUGGGAAGGCGAGGAAGACUGCUGCUGGAAAGGCGCACAAGCACGGCAGGGGCUCGUCGGAGUACGGCGAUGGCGCCGAUGACAUGGACUUGUCUCUCAGGCUAUGA